CCUUAGAGUUUGAUCCUGGCUCAGGAUGAACGCUAGCUACAGGCUUAACACAUGCAAGUCGAGGGGCAGCAUGGUCUUAGCUUGCUAAGGCCGAUGGCGACCGGCGCACGGGUGAGUAACACGUAUCCAACCUGCCGUCUACUCUUGGACAGCCUUCUGAAAGGAAGAUUAAUACAAGAUGGCAUCAUGAGUCCGCAUGUUCACAUGAUUAAAGGUAUUCCGGUAGACGAUGGGGAUGCGCUCCAUUAGAUAGUAGGCGGGGUAACGGCCCACCUAGUCUUCGAUGGAUAGGGGUUCUGAGAGGAAGGUCCCCCACAUUGGAACUGAGACACGGUCCAAACUCCUACGGGAGGCAGCAGUGAGGAAUAUUGGUCAAUGGGCGAGAGCCUGAACCAGCCAAGUAGCGUGAAGGAUGACUGCCCUAUGGGUUGUAAACUUCUUUUAUAAAGGAAUAAAGUCGGGUAUGGAUACCCGUUUGCAUGUACUUUAUGAAUAAGGAUCGGCUAACUCCGUGCCAGCAGCCGCGGUAAUACGGAGGAUCCGAGCGUUAUCCGGAUUUAUUGGGUUUAAAGGGAGCGUAGAUGGAUGUUUAAGUCAGUUGUGAAAGUUUGCGGCUCAACCGUAAAAUUGCAGUUGAUACUGGAUAUCUUGAGUGCAGUUGAGGCAGGCGGAAUUCGUGGUGUAGCGGUGAAAUGCUUAGAUAUCACGAAGAACUCCGAUUGCGAAGGCAGCCUGCUAAGCUGCAACUGACAUUGAGGCUCGAAAGUGUGGGUAUCAAACAGGAUUAGAUACCCUGGUAGUCCACACGGUAAACGAUGAAUACUCGCUGUUUGCGAUAUACAGCAAGCGGCCAAGCGAAAGCGUUAAGUAUUCCACCUGGGGAGUACGCCGGCAACGGUGAAACUCAAAGGAAUUGACGGGGGCCCGCACAAGCGGAGGAACAUGUGGUUUAAUUCGAUGAUACGCGAGGAACCUUACCCGGGCUUAAAUUGCAGAUGAAUUACGGUGAAAGCCGUAAGCCGCAAGGCAUCUGUGAAGGUGCUGCAUGGUUGUCGUCAGCUCGUGCCGUGAGGUGUCGGCUUAAGUGCCAUAACGAGCGCAACCCUUGUUGUCAGUUACUAACAGGUUCCGCUGAGGACUCUGACAAGACUGCCAUCGUAAGAUGUGAGGAAGGUGGGGAUGACGUCAAAUCAGCACGGCCCUUACGUCCGGGGCUACACACGUGUUACAUGGGGGGUACAGAGGGCCGCUACCACGCGAGUGGAUGCCAAUCCCCAAAACCUCUCUCAGUUCGGACUGGAGUCUGCAACCCGACUCCACGAAGCUGGAUUCGCUAGUAAUCGCGCAUCAGCCACGGCGCGGUGAAUACGUUCCCGGGCCUUGCACUCACCGCCCGUCAAG
rnacentral:rRNA from 1 species